GGGGAAUUUUGGACAUUGGGCGCAAGCCUGAUCCAGCAAUGCCGCGUGCAGGAUGAAGGCCUUCGGGUUGUAAACUGCUUUUGUACGGAGCGAAACGGUCUACCCUAAUACGGUGGGCUAAUGACGGUACCGUAAGAAUAAGCACCGGCUAACUACGUGCCAGCAGCCGCGGUAAUACGUAGGGUGCGAGCGUUAAUCGGAAUUACUGGGCGUAAAGCGUGCGCAGGCGGUUAUAUAAGACAGAUGUGAAAUCCCCGGGCUCAACCUGGGACCUGCAUUUGUGACUGUAUAGCUAGAGUACGGUAGAGGGGGAUGGAAUUCCGCGUGUAGCAGUGAAAUGCGUAGAUAUGCGGAGGAACACCGAUGGCGAAGGCAGCCCCCUGGGCCGAUACUGACGCUCAUGCACGAAAGCGUGGGUAGCAAAC
rnacentral:rRNA from 1 species